rnacentral:tRNA from 3 species
AAAGGAUUAGUUAAUAAAAUAACAUCAGAAUGUCAAACUGAAAUAAUCGAUAAAGAUAUCCUUUU